GACGUAGGGUGCGAGCGUUGUCCGGAUUUAUUGGGCGUAAAGAGCUCGUAGGCGGCUCGUCGCGUCGACCGUGAAAACCCGCGGCUUAACUGCGGGCUUGCGGUUGAUACGGGCGGGCUAGAGUUCGGUAGGGGAGACUGGAAUUCCUGGUGUAGCGGUGAAAUGCGCAGAUAUCAGGAGGAACACCAGCGGCGAAGGCGGCGCUCUGGGCCGGUACUGACACUGAGGAGCGAAAGCGUGGGUAGCAAACAGG
rnacentral:rRNA from 1 species